rnacentral:rRNA from 1 species
CUGCUGCCUCCCGUAGGAGUUUGGGCCGUGUCUCAGUCCCAAUGUGGCCGUCCGCCCUCUCAGGCCGGCUACUGAUCGUCGCCUUGGUGGGCCGUUACCCCGCCAACCAGCUAAUCAGACGCGGGUCCAUCCCGUACCACCGGAGUUUUCAAGAAAGAAACAUGCGUCCCCUUCUGUUAUGCGGUAUUAGCACCUGUUUCCAGGUGUUAUCCCCCGGUACGGGGCAGGUUCCCCACGCGUUACUCACCCGUCCGCCACUAAGGCCCGCGCCCUUCCGGGUCUGGUAAA